rnacentral:rRNA from 1 species
UGAUGGCGACCGGCGCACGGGUGAGUAACACGUAUCCAACCUGGCCGAUGACUCGGGGAUAGCCUUUCGAAAGAAAGAUUAAUACCCGAUGGCAUAGUUCUUCCGCAUGGUAGAACUAUUAAAGAAUUUCGGUCAUCGAUGGGGAUGCGUUCCAUUAGGUUGUUGGCGGGGUAACGGCCCACCAAGCCUUCGAUGGAUAGGGGUUCUGAGAGGAAGGUCCCCCACAUUGGAACUGAGACACGGUCCAAACUCCUACGGGAGGCAGCAUG